rnacentral:rRNA from 1 species
AGCAGCCGCGGUAAUUCCAGCUCCAAUAGCGUAUAUUAAAGUUGUUGCAGUUAAAAGCUCGUAGUUGAAUUUCGGGAUCAAUUAAUUGGUCGUGCCUAUGGUACGUACUGAUUUUAUUGGUUUCUCCCUUCUGACGAACCAUGAUGUCAUUAAUUUGGUGUCGUGGAGAAUCAGGACUGUUACUUUGAAAAAAUUAGAGUGUUUAAAGCAGGCUAACGCUUGAAUACAUUAGCAUGGAAUAAUGAAAUAGGACGUUUGANCCUAUUUUGUUGGUUCUAGGAUCGACGUAAUGAUUAAUAGGGAUAGUUGGGGGCAUUAGUAUUCAAUUGUCAGAGGUGAAAUUCUUGGAUUUAUUGAAGACUAACUACUGCGAAAGCAUUUGCCAAGGAUGUUUUCAUUAAUCAAGAACGAAAGUUAGGGGAUCGAAGACGAUCAGAUACCGUCGUAGUCUUAACCAUAAACUAUGCCGACUAGGGAUCGGAUGAUGUUAAUUUUUUCAAUGACUCAUUCGGCGCCUUAC